rnacentral:rRNA from 1 species
GGUGGAGCAUGUGGUUUAAUUCGAUGCAACGCGAAGAACCUUACCUGGUCUUGACAUCCAGAGAACUUUCCAGAGAUGGAUUGGUGCCUUCGGGAACUGUGAGACAGGUGCUGCAUGGCUGUCGUCAGCUCGUGUUGUGAAAUGUUGGGUUAAGUCCCGCAACGAGCGCAACCCUUAUCCUUUGUUGCCAGCGGUUAGGCCGGGAACUCAAAGGAGACUGCCAGUGAUAAACUGGAGGAAGGUGGGGAUGACGUCAAGUCAUCAUGGCCCUUACGACCAGGGCUACACACGUGCUACAAUGGCGCAUACAAAGAGAAGCGACCUCGCGAGAGCAAGCGGACCUCAUAAAGUGCGUCGUAGUCCGGAUUGGAGUCUGCAACUCGACUCCAUGAAGUCGGAAUCGCUAGUAAUCGUAGAUCAGAAUGCUACGGUGAAUACGU